CUGCAUUGCUGUUUUUCACACCCUUUGUGUCUCACACCCCUGUGACUGAAGGAUUACCUGCUCAGCACUCCAUCUAGCUGCUAUCACUCUGCUACUCAGCCUCUGUGCCUCAUCUGCUUCUAUCAAGCUAUAUCCUGUGGCUGGGUCAGUCAGGUCAGUGCUGCUGCCUGUUUGUUAUUGUGACCUGCACUUAAGGGUCCCAACCCUGUGCAACCGGGGUGAGCCCCCACUAUAAAUACGC